UUAGUCCCACAUUGUCGAAUGGAGUGGCAGUAAAAUAGGAAGUAGCUUUAAUCUUCUAGCCUCGACUCAACAAAUUGAUUUCCCUUUGCGUCUAUUCUUCUCUCACUCGUUGCCUUUCAUCGAAAUUAGCUCUUGCUUUUCAAGAUGUCAGAAACACCCUUCUAUCCCCGAGAAAAGCUUGUUGAGAAGCAAAAGUAUUUCCAGAAUGUUCACAAAGUAUACACACCUGAAAGGUCCCGUAGAUAAGAUUACCUCAGUUGCCAUUCCACUUGCUUUAGCAACUACAGCUACCUUCAUGAUUGCCAGGGGGAUCUACAAUAUGUCUCAUGGCAUUGGCAAGAAGGAAUAAAAUGGUGGCUUCUAUGCGAUCAUUCCUAGGGAAACUCCAGCAUAAAAGAGAUUGUUUGUGUUUUCCACAUUGAAAUUUUUUGAUGUUGUGAAGCUAAUAAUUGGUUAGAUGCAGACAAUGCAGCCUGCACAUUGAAAUAUUUGAUGUUCUGAAGCUAAUAAUCAGUUUUUUUUCCAUCUAUUAUCUGCCGCAAUUUGAGACAUUGCUCUAUUUUUUGAUGAGAUGUUACUGUUUAACAAUGAAAGAAGAGUGGAAUUA